UGCGGAAGGAUCAUUACCUAGAGUUGUAGGCUUUGCCUGCUAUCUCUUACCCAUGUCUUUUAAGUACCUUCGUUUCCUCGGCGGGUUCGCCCGCCGAUUGGACAAUUUAAACCAUUUGCAGUUGCAAUCAGCGUCUGAAAAAACUUAAUAGUUACAACUUUCAACAACGGAUCUCUUGGUUCUGGCAUCGAUGAAGAACGCAGCGAAAUGCGAUAAGUAGUGUGAAUUGCAGAAUUCAGUGAAUCAUCGAAUCUUUGAACGCACAUUGCGCCCCUUGGUAUUCCAUGGGGCAUGCCUGUUCGAGCGUCAUUUGUACCUUCAAGCUCUGCUUGGUGUUGGGUGUUUGUCUCGCCUCUGCGUGUAGACUCGCCUCAAAACAAUUGGCAGCCGGCGUAUUGAUUUCGGAGCGCAGUACAUCUCGCGCUUUGCACUCAUAACGACGACGUCCAAAAGUACAUUUUUACACUCUUGACCUCGGAUCAGGUAGGGAUACCCGCUGAACUUAAGCAUAUCAAUAA
rnacentral:rRNA from 1 species